AUUUAAAUAAUUUAAAAAAAAAUAUUGAUUUGUGGUGUCAAAAAUAUGAAAAGUUCAUUUUAAAUU
rnacentral:tRNA from 1 species